GAGUAACGCGUGAGGAACCUGCCUCAAAGAGGGGGACAACAGUUGGAAACGACUGCUAAUACCGCAUAAGCCCACGGGUCGGCAUCGACCAGAGGGAAAAGGAGCAAUCCGCUUUGAGAUGGCCUCGCGUCCGAUUAGCUAGUUGGUGAGGUAACGGCCCACCAAGGCAACGAUCGGUAGCCGGACUGAGAGGUUGAACGGCCACAUUGGGACUGAGACACGGCCCAGACUCCUACGGGAGGCAGCAGUGGGGAAUAUUGCACAAUGGGGGAAACCCUGAUGCAGCGACGCCGCGUGGAGGAAGAAGGUCUUCGGAUUGUAAACUCCUGUUGUUGAGGAAGAUAAUGACGGUACUCAACAAGGAAGUGACGGCUAACUACGUGCCAGCAGCCGCGGUAAAACGUAGGUCACAAGCGUUGUCCGGAAUUACUGGGUGUAAAGGGAGCGCAGGCGGGAAGACAAGUUGGAAGUGAAAUCUAUGGGCUCAACCCAUAAACUGCUUUCAAAACUGUUUUUCUUGAGUAGUGCAGAGGUAGGCGGAAUUCCCGGUGUAGCGGUGGAAUGCGUAGAUAUCGGGAGGAACACCAGUGGCGAAGGCGGCCUACUGGGCACCAACUGACGCUGAGGCUCGAAAGUGUGGGUAGCAAACAGGAUUAGAUACCCUGGUAGUCCACACCGUAAACGAUGAUUACUAGGUGUUGGAGGAUUGACCCCUUCAGUGCCGCAG
rnacentral:rRNA from 1 species